CAACCUUUAUGGAACGGAGGG
rnacentral:miRNA from 1 species